GGGCAUGUAGCUCAGUGGUAGAGCGUCCGCUUUGCAUAGCUUGUUGAGUUUGGCCUGCGGAAGGUCUCCGGUUCGAUCCCGGACUUGUCCA